rnacentral:misc_RNA from 1 species
AUCUUUUCGCCGUUCGCUCCACCCUUCAAUCCCCUCCUUGCCUAUUCCUCCUACCUUCGCUCGAUCGAGUACAUCGACGACACACGGGGGGGGGGUGAAUUGGAUAAGGAAACGGCGACAUCCAUACACAUCAAUAACGGAUUCUUGCUCUGCACACCGUUCGACCCUACUCAGUGACGGGCUAGUCACUUUUGUGUUUCAUCCGCAAAAAUGCCGAGCAUCCAAAACACUAUCGUAUCGCGUAUUCAGGAAGCCUUUCAGCCGGCGGAGCUGGAGGUGACGGAGGUCAGCGCAGAGGAUGCCAAGUACAACGUGCGCAUCGUUUCUGCAGCUUUUGCCGGCGUGCCACUGAUUCAGCGCCAUCGCAUGGUGAACGAUCUCUUUGGCGAGGAGCUGCGGUCAGGCACGAUUCAUGCGUUGGGCAUAUCUGCGAAGCCGCCACCGUCGUAAGCGCCGUUUGUGCGUGUCGGCUGUUUUUUUUUUUGGUUUGCGUAUCUCCUCCUUUUGCCCGCCACGAAUACACAAUGAGACAGAGAGAGAUGCACACACGUUCGCGCAAACUCGAAAAAAAAGGUCACCGCUACUGCAGGAGCGAUCCUUGAGCAAACAACAUCGACUUAUCACAUUGGUGGAAGAGAGAGAACCCCCUCCCACUGCUGCGUGCGCCACGGCCUGCCUCCGUUUUCCUUCGGCGAUCUCUUUUUUGGCGUCUUCCCUGAAAUAGUCCUGUUACGCUGUCGGGUGCAGUGCGUGCUUCGGGUUGUGUCUCCUUCCGCGCACACCCGCCCCGUUGUUAUCGCCAUCACCUCCGUUUCACUAACUCGUACGGCCGCAUUUUACUCGCUGCACCGACGCUUCGCUUGCGGCUAAGUGACCAGUGCGGAUCUGUAUCGAUCACCUCCCUUCUCGAACAUUGCUCCUUUACCACCUCCUAUUUGGCAUCUGCGCGGGGUUUGGCCGAAGUCCCCCCUUCCUCCACCUUGUCGCGGAAAACCUCGAUAUGCGUAGACGGGCGACUCAGGGAGAUGGUACUUGACGGCGGGAGUUUUAGGAAGAGGAAGGACAGGACCUUCUUUUCCCUCUCGUGAAACACAUAAUGCAGCGGAAAUGUUUCUGCCCCGGAUUUAUCAGCAACGGUGCUAUCCUAACGCUGUUGGUUGCUCAGGUGCUACCAUGGAGUGCCGAGGCAGCCACAGAGACUUCAUUGAAGAAUGCAUUCGCGUGCGGAAAUGCGGCUUCUAGCGCGUCCCACAGGAGUCUUCAAGGCGAGUGUCGUAGAAUGACGGGUGCGUAAGGAGAGAUGCUGGAUAGCGGACACCACCAUGUCAGGUGCGGACGAGGGGCGGCCAAUGGUGAUCUCGAAACGAAGGCAUUCGUCGGGGUGCUCGUCGUUCCAUUCACCCGGCUUCGUAUAUAAACCAAACUGAAGCUGAAGCAGAAGGCGCUGCUGGGCACGAGUGAAUUGGCGGGACUGAAUGUUGGUACCGGGGGCACCAUUUCCCAACACUUUGUGCCGAAGAGUCUGCUGCAUUUCCAGGGUUAUGACCGCCUUCCCCGCCUUUGACGAGGUCGCGAGGCGAGCGAUGUCUUGCGACCAUGACGGGGGCGUGGUCUCCCCCGGUUCCCCCUUCUCCGCCACCUUCUCCCCUCGCAGACAUUGAGGUGCAUGACAGCGUCGUUGUACCCGGUGGCCAAAGGGCCUUUCUCCGUGUGUGAGAUGAUGCACACCAUGAAAACCUUCGCCGCGGGGAGGCGAGCCAUGAGGGGCCAGAUAGCUUUUAUCUUGUGCCCCCCCCCCCCCCCCCCGGCGGAGCGGACCCUUCUCCGACUCCUGAAAUGCUGGUCGAGAGUCUUUUACAAUGCGAGGGGGCCUAAUGGAUUGCUUUGGAUAUUGCGUACUCCACCAGCGUGUGCAAUCGUGAGAAAAGAGCCUGUCGCUUCCUAGCGUAGGUGCACGCUUUCUUUUCUAGCCUCGUGCUUCGGGUGAGUGCCUCCUCCUUGCCGCUCACUAUCACAUACGCCUCCUCCCCGUAGGCAGCUCCCGACCUCACCAAUCUGCCUGUCCAGAGCGGGAGCUCAGCGGUGUCCGUGCUACAGAGUCGCACCGCGUUGAGCGGACGGCAAGGUGCUAGGCUCACUUCAUCGCCUUUCCAAACCACACGGUCCCCGAGGCAGAGUGUCGUGAGGAAGUCUGUGCAAAGCGCAACCAACGCGAGCUCCCUGGCUGAUGUCUCGUGGUAUCGCGGGAGAGUACCGCGCAGUGGAAGGGCUGGUACGGCGAGCAUCUUCGUGCGCCAUGUGACUUUUGCUCGACCGACGGCGGCUGACAGCUGGCCGCAACUUGCCUCCUGCCGCCCAGCUCUCGGAAAGCAUCCACAGCCGUCUUUGCAGCCUCAGUCCAGGCUUGUUGACCUCGAAGUUCGAGGAGUGGAGGCCCGCCUCCAGUGUUGCUGAUUCCGAGUGCAUGGCCAGAGUUGUGCACGUAGUUGUCAUGCAUAUGCGCGUCGAAACGCGCUUGAGGACGACGCGGAUAGCUUCGUUCAUCGCUGCACAGACAAUCGGAGGAAACUGGCGGACAGGGGUCGCAGCCACUGCACGCAUAGAGAUGUAGAAAAGGCGGGGGCUUAGGAGCCGGGUGCGAUACUGCGUGUCGACAAGAAGGACCUCGACGCGGCGCCGCGCGAUCUCGGCAUGAUACUCGAAUAAAAAACCUUGGUCGCGCCAUUGCUACAAGCCAUGAAUCCGUGAUGGCUGAGUCGCCGGUUCCUGCCUGUAGUGCCGGCUCUACGAUCAACAGGCCUGGUGCCAGGCGGAAGGCACAGGGGCGCGCACGGUUCAUCCGGUUCGCUUUCUUCGCGUCCGCUAGCCAGAUCCCCCUCCGUCUUUGAGCGCACGCGCACCCUGUUUCGCUUUGCCAGGCGUAAAUAAUGCACGGCAUGCACUGCAUCGUCCCGACCGUUUACCAUGGUGAGGACGCUGCUACCCAGAUUGUCAGGUCGUUAGCGUAUUAUGCUACGUUCCCGCAGAGUAGUCGGUUCACCUCUUUCUUCGGCAACAGUACCUCGGGCGCUCGGCCUACGACCUCUGCGCCGACCUCCGUAUAGCCCUCUCGGAGUAGGCGUCUGGCAAUCGCAGCUUUCUGGAUUCCCACCGUUGCCGUACGCACCGGAGCCUCCUCCUGGUGUCGUACCGGCGCCGGCUGCUGCGGUGGCGUAGGGGCCAUCUGCUUCACCGGGCCCCUCAGGGAGGUCGAAGACUGCCGUUGUGACUUCGCCGUGUCGGUAAAGGGCUCGCCGUCGUUGUGUGGGGCUUCGACUUCUGGGACAAGACCUCCCUGGCUUACGUACAGCAAUCUGCCACGGAGUGAAGUAGAUCAUCGGUCGCCAGGCUCUAACUAAAGAGAGGGCCGAUGGUGGAGCCUCGAGGGCACCCAUGCGUAGAUAACCGAGGCCUGUUGCUUUCAGCGGGUACGACUUCACGCGCUAUGACUUCACUGCGGCGGAAGGAGACUGCUUGUGAUCCCUGUGACUCUGCACUGCGGUCGAUGAUCGCUGAGGGAGGCGCUGCGCAACGAGCACUCCGUGCUUCGGGAAUGGGGCUGCGUGCGUGUGCGUCACUAAGCAGUACUAGGUGCUGCGUGUUGCUCCGCUUGCCUUUGUGUGCUGCUCAUCCAUGGCUGAUCGUGGCUCUCUCCGCGUUUCUGCUGGCGUGUGAUCUGCGGAAUGGACAGGUGAGCCGGCGUCGCCCCAGUAGUUUGCGUGCCGAUCUCCUCCUCGUUCCUAUUUUCCUU